rnacentral:rRNA from 1 species
GGGGGAAUAUUGCACAAUGGGCGCAAGCCUGAUGCAGCAACGCCGCGUGAACGAUGAAGGUUUUCGAAUCGUAAAGCUCUGUCCUAUGAGAAGAUAAUGACGGUAUCAUAGGAGGAAGCCCCGGCUAAAUACGUGCCAGCAGCCGCGGUAAUACGUAUGGGGCGAGCGUUGUCCGGAAUUAUUGGGCGUAAAGGGUACGUAGGCGGUCUAUUAAGUCAGGUGUGAAAUCGUGAGGCUUAACCUCAUUAAGCACUCGAAACUGAUAGACUUGAGUGAAGGAGAGGAAAGUGGAAUUCCUAGUGUAGCGGUGACAUGCGUAGAUAUUAGGAUGAAUACCGGUGGCGAAGGCGACUUUCUCGACUUUUACUUACGCUCAGGUACGAAAGCGUGGGGAGCAAACAGG